rnacentral:pre_miRNA from 1 species
CGAUAGCUGUCGGUAAUGUAGUUGGCAUUGAAGGAACUACAUGUACCGUCAGUCGUCAGA